rnacentral:lncRNA from 1 species
CGAGACCAGCCUGGUCCGACACGGCAAAACCCUGUCUCUACUAAAAUACAAAAAAUUAGCUGGGCGUGGUGGCGGGUUCCUGUAAUCCCAGCUACUAGAAAGGCUGAGGCAGGAGAAUUGCUUGAACCUGGGAGGCGGAGGUUGUAGUGAGCCGACAUCACGCUACUGCACUGCAGCCUGGGCAACAGAGCGAGACUCCAUUUCAAAAAAAAAAAAAAAAGAAUGGCUACUCCAUAGGCAGAGCGGCCCCAAAGGCUGCUGGUUGCCCAUUUUCAUGGUUAUUUCUUGAUCAUAUGCUAAACAAGGGGUGAACUAUUCAUGAGUUUUCCAGGAAAAGGGUGGGCAAUUCCCAGAACUGAGAGUUUCUCCCCUCCCUUUUGAGACCUUAUAAGGUAACCUCCAGACGUUGUCAUGGCAUCUGUAAACUGUCAUGGUGCUGGUGGGGGUGUCUUUUAGCAGCUAAUGCAUUCUAAUUAGCAUAUAAUGAGCCGUGAGGACAAUCAGAGGUCACUCUCGUGGCCACCUUGGGUUUGGUGGGCUUUGGCCGGCUUCUUUACUGCAAACUGCUUUAUCAGCAAGGUCUUCAUGACCUGUAUCUUGUGCGACCUCCUAUCUCAUCCUGGGACUAAGAAUGCCUAACCUCCUGGGAAUGCAGCCCGGCAGGUCUCAGCCUCACUUUACCCAGCCCCCAUUCAAGAUGGAGCUGCUCUGGUUCACAUGUCUCUGACAAGUUGACCUGGGUUGAGUGUUCCAUAGCGUGUGGUUGUUGGAGCUUUUCUUAGGAGUAAGAAGUAUUGUUAGUAGGAAACAGGCCUCUAUUGGCCCUGGGGCUGGCACUCUGCCCCAGUAUGUCAGUCUCAUUUUAGUGGUGACCAAACUGGGGCUCAGAGAAAUCAACUCCCUCACCCCGAACCCCCAGACUGUGAGUGGUGGGCUGGGGUUUGAAUGUGGGGCUUGAAGACCCACCGUUUCCUCUGGUCCCCCAUGCUCUGCUGCCCGAGAGGAACAGGAUCCCAGGAUCCAGGCCCCUGAUGGCACCAGCCAGGGUGGGUGGAAAUGGGGAGGCACAGUCCCAAAGCCCCCAGGACUCUGAGGCAGGUCGGGGGCUGAGAGCAACCCGGAACUGCAGACCCCACCCCGAGAGGAAUGGCUGCAGGCCCGGCCCGGCAGGCAGGAGGUCUGUGUCCUCAGUGACCGUGACGACGCUUCCCGCUGCUCCAGCCAGGCCGUGCCGUCUUCAUGUUUCUUCUGGGGAGAUGAAUGCCUUUUGAAACUAGACGGUGUGGGUGGGUGCACAGCACUGUGAGUGCACAAAUGCCACCACAUUAUUCACGUUGAAAUAGUUAAUUUCAUGCGAUGUGAAUGUCACCUCAUUUUAAAAGUGUUUAAAAGAGGGGCCUGGGAGAGUGCAGUGUUUGUGAGAAUCACGUGGGGCACCCACAAUCUCUGAACCUCGGUUUCCUUGCCGUAAACUGGCGAAGAGACCGUGUGAGCCGUGUUUCCUGGGGCCAAGAGAUUCCAAGAAGGAAAACCUGGGAUUCCUGGGGACUGAGAUGAGGGCCGGGGGCCGGAAGGGGAGGGGUACAUGGGGAGGGCUGAGGGGCAGCCCA